rnacentral:miRNA from 2 species
AAAGGAGGAAAUAGGCAGGCCA